UACGAAGGGGGCUAGCGUUGUUCGGAAUUACUGGGCGUAAAGCGCGCGUAGGCGGACAUUUAAGUCAGGGGUGAAAUGCCGGGGCUCAACCUCGGAACUGCCUUUGAUACUGGAUGUCUGGAGUUCGGGAGAGGUGAGUGGAAUUCCGAGUGUAGAGGUGAAUUCGUAGAUAUUCGCAAGAACACCAGUGGCGAAGGCGGCUCACUGGCCCGAUACUGACGCUGAGGCACGAAAGCGUGGGGAGCAACAGG
rnacentral:rRNA from 1 species